GACAUCAGGAGGUUAGUGCAAUGGCAUAAGCCAGCUUGACUGCGAGCGUGACGGCGCGAGCAGGUGCGAAAGCAGGUCAUAGUGAUCCGGUGGUUCUGAAUGGAAGGGCCAUCGCUCAACGGAUAAAAGGUACUCCGGGGAUAACAGGCUGAUACCGCCCAAGAGUUCAUAUCGACGGCGGUGUUUGGCACCUCGAUGUCGGCUCAUCACAUCCUGGGGCUGAAGUAGGUCCCAAGGGUAUGGCUGUUCGCCAUUUAAAGUGGUACGCGAGCUGGGUUUAGAACGUCGUGAGACAGUUCGGUCCCUAUCUGCCGUGGGCGCUGGAGAACUGAGGGGGGCUGCUCCUAGUACGAGAGGACCGGAGUGGACGCAUCACUGGUGUUCGGGUUGUCAUGCCAAUGGCACUGCCCGGUAGCUAAAUGCGGAAGAGAUAAGUGCUGAAAGCAUCUAAGCACGAAACUUGCCCCGAGAUGAGUUCUCCCUGACUCCUUGAG
rnacentral:rRNA from 1 species